rnacentral:rRNA from 1 species
AUGGACGGGAGGCUGGACCUGGUCAAAAUGGUGCUCUCGGCCAUGCCGAUCUUCCAGAUGAUCACGUUGAUCAUGCCAACUUGGCUUGCAAAGCUGAUUGACAAGGUGUGGCGUGGCUUUCUCUGGGAGGGCAACGAGGUGGCAUCGGGCGGCAAAUGUCUGGUCAGCUGGAGAACUGUCUGUAGGCCUAAGGAGCUCGGCGGGCUCGGCAUCACCAAUGUGCUGGCACAUAGUAGGGCACUACUGAUGCGAUGGCUUUGGCAAUCCUGGACCGACGGCAACAAGGCGUGGGCCGGACUUGAAAUUCCAAUUGACCGCACUGUCAUAGCCCUCUUCAACGCCUCGGUCGAUUUCCAGCUCGGCAAUGGUGAGCGCAUUCUCUUCUGGAAGGAGCCAUGGUUCAAAGGUGUCUGUCUCUAG